UCUCUCUUUAGACCUUUCCAUCAGGAUGCAACUCAGUCUUGCUGACAUGGGACCAGUCUGUCUCUGAAGGUGGGCCAAAAUGCUGAGCAUCCCGUCCUGGACCCCAGUGCCCUGCAGAAGAGGCUGAGGACUUGGGCCAGUGAAGUCCUGACCUCAGUCCAUGUGUCCUCAAGCCCAGCUCCUUCAGGGGACCCCCUCCAUAGCACCACGGACCUCCCCAUGACAGCAGAAU